CUUCAGAGGACUGAAUAGGGAUCAGCCCUGACUUGGGAUAAAUUGGUCCUCAAACAAGAACUCUUUGUCUUUUUGAUAAUGUGAUAUUACUUUGAUGCUAUAGAAGCAAAAAUAUUGAAGAUAUGUGUUCAUGAUUUUUGACCCUCUCUCCACCCUCUAAAGGAGAGUUCUUUGCCAUCACUGCCAGGUUCCUGGGCUUCUAAUAUACUGACCAGAAUACUGGGUAGAAUUGCAGUGUGAAGACUUCUGCUUACAUAAGAAAAUGGAGGUCAAUAAUGGAAAAAAAGGCUAGAGGUGCUUUUGGAAACACAAAGAUGAAAAAUUUAGGGAAUUGAUUGUUUUAAUUCAAAGGACAUAAGAGAAAAAUCUAUCCAAAAAAGAUUAUAGAAAAAAUUAUCUCUAUUAUAUGUAGUAGUAUUCCUGGUUCCUCUUUUUGUUGCCUCUUCAAGACACCUCUAAUUUAUUUCUUUUGGAUGCAACACUGCGCUGAGAUGAGAUUUGAAGUUGAGGAUGAACUUCAAAGAGUAAUGGCUGCUGCUUCAUUUCUGCUUUCCAAAUCACAUUGGAUUAUCUUUUGACCACCUCUGAGAACCAUAUGGGGAAAGAGGAUUCUGGGCAAUAUUGUUCCAGGUCAAACAAGCUGAUAAACUACAAGCUGAUAAACUACAAAACAACCGCACUCCAGCUCAUGUCAGCUUGGUGUCAUUCACAUCUCUUUUAUCCAUAUUUGCAUCUAAUAGUUCUCUCUCUUGCUGCCAUGUGAAGAAGAAAGUUCUUGCUUCCCCUUCUGCUGAGAUUAUAAGUUUCCUGAGGCCUCCCCAGCCACGCUGAACUGUGAGUCAAUUAAACUUCUUUCCUUUAUAAAUUACUCAGUCUCGAGUAUGUCUUUAUUAAAAGUGUGAGAACUAACUAAUACAGUAAAUUGGUACUGCAGAGAGUGGGACAUUGCUGUAAAGAUACCUGAAAAUGUGGAAGCGAAUUUGGAACUGG
rnacentral:lncRNA from 10 species